rnacentral:rRNA from 1 species
CCUACGGGUGGCAGCAGUGGGGAAUAUUGGUCAAUGGGCGAGAGCCUGAACCAGCCAAGUAGCGUGCAGGACGACGGCCCUAUGGGUUGUAAACUGCUUUUUAAGGGGAAUAAAGAGGGGCACGCGUGCCCUGUUGCAUGUACCCUUGGAAUAAGGACCGGCUAAUUCCGUGCCAGCAGCCGCGGUAAUACGGAAGGUCCAGGUGUUAUCCGGAUUUAUUGGGUUUAAAGGGAGCGUAGGCCGCAGGUUAAGUGUGUUGUGAAAAGCAGUCGCCCAACGUCUGUCUUGCAGCGCAAACUGUCCUGCUUGAGUGCGCACAACGCAGGCGGAAUUCGUCGUGUAGCGGUGAAAUGCUUAGAUAUGACGAAGAACUCCGAUUGCGAAGGCAGCUUGCGGGAGCGCAACUGACGCUGAAGCUCGAAAGUGCGGGUAUCGAACAGGAUUAGAUACCCUUGUAGUC